CGUCUAUAUACGUAUAGCAUAUCAAUAAGCGGAGGAAAAGAAACUAACAAGGAUUCCCUUAGUAACGGCGAGUGAAGCGGGAAGAGCUCAAAUUUGAAAUCUUCAAGGUUUUACCUUGACGAAUUGUAGUUUAAAGAAGUGUUUUCUGUUGGAGUUUUGGUAAAAGUUCUUUGGAAUAGGACAUCAUAGAGGGUGAGAAUCCCGUAUUUGACCAUUAUUUCCAGCUGUGUGAUACACUUUCAAAGAGUCGGAUUGUUUGGGAAUGCAGUCCAAAAUGGGUGGUAAAUUUCAUCUAAAGCUAAAUAUUGGCGAGAGACCGAUAGCGAACAAGUACCGUGAGGGAAAGAUGAAAAGAACUUUGAAAAGAGAGUUAAACAGUACGUGAAAUUGUCAAAAGGGAAGCGUUUGACACCAGUGUUGUUUUCUCGAAAAUCAAUUAAAAAUGAUGGGAUUUUGUGUUGUAUUGACUUUAUCAGUUUUCUGCACUUUUUUCUUAUCUUUUUUAAUGCACUUUUCGUUUAACAAGUCAACAUCAAUUUCUUUUGUUGUAAAAGAGUCAUUGGAAGGUGGCUUUCUUUUCGGAGAAAGUGUUUAUAGCCUUUGACUCCUGCAAUCGGAGAGACUGAGGUCUGCAGCGUAGAUCCUUUUUUGGAUUAGAUUCAUUUGUGCUAAGUUAUAGCUUUUUAUAGACAACAUGUUGACUAUAUUUAGUCUUGUAACUUACUCGCUUAUGUAAUUUUACCUACGCUUAGGAUGUUGAUAUGCAUGACUGAUAU
rnacentral:rRNA from 1 species